CCUACGGGUGGCAGCAGUGGGGGAUAUUGCACAAUGGGGGAAACCCUGAUGCAGCGACGCCACGUGUGGGAAGACGGUCCUCUGUAUUGUAAACCACUGUCCCCAGGGACGAAGGUCACGGUACCUGGGGCGGAAGCUCCGGCUAACUACGUGCAAGCAGCCGCGGUAAUACGUAGGGAGCGAGCGUUGUCCGGAAUUACUGGGUGAAAGGGGAGCGUAGGCGGGACUGCAAGUAGGGCGACAAAUCUACCGGCUCAACCGGUAGCCGCACUCAAAACUGCAGUUCUUGAGUGAAGUAGAGUCAGGCGGAAUUCCUAGUGUAGCGGUGAAAUGCGUAGAUAUUAGGAGGAACCCCAGUGGCGAAGGCGGCCUGCUGGGCUUUAACGGACGCUGAGGCUCGAAAGUGUGGGGAGCAAACAGGAUUAGAUACCCCAGUAUC
rnacentral:rRNA from 1 species